UUGAUUCCAGUAAAACUAGAGAGGCAAAAGAUUAGGUCAAAGGGUCGCAGAUUGGGUUUUCUAGGGUUUGUUCUUAAAUGCUCACGAAUGAAACGGUGCGUUGUAACUUUUAACAAACACCGAAUUCUCAUUUACAUCCUUCGCUAGAUUAAAGGGUCUCUCUUUCGAAACUUACCAGCAGGUUUUCUAGGGUUUUCAAUUUCUCGACCGUUGUCUCGGCGCAAAUACGAAAUUUUUCUGAAGUGUGUCUCUUGAAUAUCUGUUGAAUUAUGCAGAAAAUGGGUUCAAGUGAACUGCUGGAAGACGUAAAAGAGGAUGAGAUAGCUUAUUGUCAUGCCUGAGGCCCUGAGCCAAAUUUUUAUUUAUUUAUUCCCAUCUUUACCUCCGGCAACCUUUGUAUCAAAGCACGGACUGUACUUGACAUGUUUUACCAGGUCUCAUCCUCCUUCCUGACCCAAAUGGGAGAAAAAACAUCAUGUUCUGGGCGUUGUCUCAUUGGGUUCACUUUUCAGUUGAAGAGAUUAAGGAACUCGCAAGAAUGAAUUCAUUGUGGUAAUCCCGUGAAUUUGGAUCCCUCAUAUUGACAUAUACAUUUCUUGCUCUAGGAGUAUUUUGUGGGGAUCUCAAACUUCCCAAUUUUGCAAUUCCUUGUUAUUUUGUUUUCAAAUCAUAGGUGCUGGUAGGUGGUCUCAUUGUCUCCUUCACAACUGCCUGGAGGUAAUGGAAGCUCAAGAUUAUUGAAUCCUCGACCAGUCUGGUGCCAACCAACAAUGGACUUUAUCAAAUAUUUCAGGACGGUUUAUCAGCUCUACCAUCACCACCGACAACAGGGUUUCUGUUGUGGUACCAAUGCCUCCAAGCAGUUGAUAACCUCAUCUUAAGCCAGUUCAGUCUUUACAGUGGUAAUGGAGUGGUUUUUCUUGAGGGCCUGUGAAGAAGAAGUUCAAGCAUGUCAUCGAGUACCGUUUCUCUGCCCCCACCUCCUGUUUUUGCAGGACAAAAUUAUGAUUUCUAGGCGCAUAUAAUAUCUGGAUUCUGGAGUACAGUGGACCAAGGAUGUGAUCCAAGUAUCCAACACCUCUUGGUGCCAAUUCAACAGUGCAAGCAAUUAAAAGACGUACUAAAGUUACCACAAGAAUGAAGAAACUUUAAAGCUCUUAGCUUUCUUCACACAGCUGCGCAUGAAUCCAUUUUUCCAAGGAUUGUUGGGGCAACGACAGCCAAGCAAGCUUGGGACAAGUUGCUGUAAGAGUUUCAAGGCAGUGAGAGGGUUAGAGCUGUUAAACUCUUAACACUCAAGAGAGAACUUGAGAUGUUAAGGAUGAAGGGCAGUGAAUCUGUCCUAGAUGAUUCAACAAGGCUGACUGAGGUGGUAAAUCAGAUGAGAUUGUUUGGGGAAGACAUCUCAUAUCAGAAAGUGGUUGAGAAAAUGAUGAGAAAUUUGGAGCUAAAAUUUCAGCAAUUGAGGAGUCUUGUGACUUAAAAAUGCUUAUGGUUACAGAGUUGUGCAGCAAGUCGCUAGCACAUGAGGAGAGAACUUUUAUGAGCAAGUUGCUUUUCAGGCAAGUCUCAAAGGGAAGCAAGGUGGUGGAUUGGUGGGGAGUUGCCUGGUGUCCAGCGGAAAAUAUUAUCAGCAUGUUUUUUAUGAGACUACAAGUCUUGAUAUUCACCCACACUUGUAGACUCGUUUAUGCAAAAUCCAACAAGUGGAUAUGGGCAUGUCAUGUCGAAAUAGACCAAAUCUUUGCGCUAAUGUCAUGUUACAAUUACGGUCCAAAUAUAUCAAACCGAUAUUGUCUGAUAUCAUGUAAUGCUAUGAUACCAUGUAUAAAUGUAUUUGAGCAUAAACUCUUAUGUGAUGCUUUCUUUUCUUAUAAAUGAGAGAUAUU